UACAUUCAAGUCAGAAAAACCUUCAUCUCCGGGAGGAAAGUGGACUUUGGAAAGGACAAGGCUCGUGGAAACUGGACUGCUUCAACGGACAACGUUUUCAAGGUAUCUCGUUGAAAUUAGCCCCGCAUUGUGGAUUGUGGAAGCUAAAGGAAGCACGGUAAGCAGUGAAAAUUUGCCUUGCUAAGUUUGGAAAGUUGCCAUUAUGCAAGAAGGAUAUGAAGAGCUAGCUUGUAAAAAAAGAGAAUCCAAAAUGACUGAGAAGGCUGUCGAGGAAAAAGUGCACAGAUUGACUCAAUCUAGAAAAGCUAAGCUAGGUCAUCUAACUAGCCAAGCUAACCACCUCGAACGGCUAAUGGAAGAUGACGCUAACGUUAACACAGUUAAACAAAAAUUACGUCUGGAUUAUCAAGAUUCAAUUGGAGAAUUGUGCAAGAUAAAUGAUGCUUUAACACAUGUACUUUAUGGUGAAGAAUUGGAAACUGAUCAGAGUUCAUGGUAUGAGCCAAAAUUAAUACACGUCCGUGGAUUUAUGCAGCCAGUGGAAAUGUGGAUAAAGGCAGCUGAAGAGCGCGCGAAACAAGCUAAAGAAUGUGACGCAGCCAUUCAGCCAGCAGACAGUGUGUCGAUGGUGUCCUCUGCUCAAAGCAGUUAUAGCAGAAAGCGUGGGUCAGCUGUCGGAAGUAAAGUGUCCAGCACAUCCUCAGUGCGCCUCAAAGCUGAAGUAGAGAGAGCCACAUUACUUGCACAGGCUGCAGCUCUGAAACAAAAGCAAGAACUUGAACGUCAGGAGGCUGAAUUAAAAGCAAAAAGAGAAGCUUUAGAACUGCAAACGGCUAUUGCCGCCUCUGAUGCUAAACUCAAAGUUUUGGAAAAUUAUGAAAUUGAGCGUGUAACAUGCACACAUGUAAGCCCUGUAGGUGGAAUGACUAUUGAGUCUGGAUAUUUACCAUUAGGCCUACCCGUGGGUCAAAAUCCAGUUAUCAACCUGGAAAAUGGACAAGGUGAAUUCAGGCCACUUCAACCCCAGUCUACUGCCGUGCAACAGAGUAGUGGUAACUUUGUAACAGAUGACUACACCGUUGAAACGCUCUGCAGCGUAAUGACGCGCCAGAACAACAUCACAGAGUUAAUGGUGAAGCAACAGAGAA
rnacentral:lncRNA from 1 species